rnacentral:rRNA from 1 species
CCAAUAAAAAUAGCGUCUAAGCAAAACAAAAAUCAAAGAUGUCCUUCUCUCCAACCUCCUCCAGCAAACAAAAGAACAAUCCUAUCUACAUAGGAACUCCUAUGCUAAAACUACUAAUAUGGGGCCUCCCUUCUGGCACAUCUUUCCUCAAACUUGACAAUUAACAGACCACAAGAGGUAAGAAACACUCGCUACUACUUUCUCACCCCACUGUAAGCUCGACUCUGAUGUGCAAAAAUAAAAUUUAAAGUCUCAGAAGGAACUCGGCAAACACGAACCCCAACUGUUUACCAAAAACAUAGCCUUUAGCCUUACAAGUAUUAAAGGUACUGCCUGCCCAGUGAAUUUUUUAACGGCCGCGGUAUCCUGCACCGUGCAAAGGUAGCGAAAUCACUUGUCUACUAAAUAUAGACCAGUAUGAAGGGCCACAUGAGGGUUUAACUGUCUCCUUAGACUAAUUUAUGAAACUGAUCUUCUAGUUCAAAAGCUAGAAUCACAAUAUAAGACGAGAAGACCCUGUGAAGCUUAAUAAACCCCAUUAAAACAACUAAUGGGUAUUUUUAGUUGGGGCAACUUUGGAAAAUAAAUAAACCUCCAAAAAAAAUUAAAAAGACUAACUAGUCAAUAACGACCCAGUAUAACUGAAAAAUGGACUAAGUUACUCCAGGGAUAACAGCGCAAUCUUCUUCAAGAGCCCAUAUCUACAAAGAAGGUUUACGACCUCGAUGUUGGGGCAGGACACCCAAGCAGUGCAGCAGCUGCGGGAGGCUCGUUGUCACGCUCAAAAA